rnacentral:rRNA from 1 species
UGGGGAAUUUUGGACAAUGGGCGAAAGCCUGAUCCAGCAAUGCCGCGUGUGUGAAGAAGGCCUUCGGGUUGUAAAGCACUUUUGUCCGGAAAGAAAUCCUUGGCUCUAAUACAGUCGGGGGAUGACGGUACCGGAAGAAUAAGCACCGGCUAACUACGUGCCAGCAGCCGCGGUAAUACGUAGGGUGCAAGCGUUAAUCGGAAUUACUGGGCGUAAAGCGUGCGCAGGCGGUUUGCUAAGACCGAUGUGAAAUCCCCGGGCUCAACCUGGGAACUGCAUUGGUGACUGGCAGGCUAGAGUAUGGCAGAGGGGGGUAGAAUUCCACGUGUAGCAGUGAAAUGCGUAGAGAUGUGGAGGAAUACCGAUGGCGAAGGCAGCCCCCUGGGCCAAUACUGACGCUCAUGCACGAAAGCGUGGGGAGCAAACAGGAUUAGAUACCCUGGUAGUCCACGCCCUAAACGAUGUCAACUAGUUGUUGGGGAUUCAUUUCCUUAGUAACGUAGCUAACGCGUGAAGUUGACCGCCUGGGGGAGUACGGUCGCAAGAUUAAAACUCAAAUGAAUUGACGGGGUC